rnacentral:rRNA from 1 species
AGCGAACGCUGGCGGCGUGCUUAACACAUGCAAGUCGAGUGCGUAGCCCUUUGUAGCAAUACAGAGGGUGGGCGCACGGCGCACGGGUGAGUAACACGUGGGUAACCUGCCCUUCGGUGGGGAAUAACCCGCGAAAGACGGGGCGUAAUUCCGCAUAACAUUCCGGGACGACAUGUUCUCGGACUCAAAGGAGUGAUUCGCCGGAGGA